rnacentral:tRNA from 1 species
CAAGUCCUGUAGUGCGCAGCACGUCGAAUUGCAAAUUCGGAGACGCCUCAAAAGUGGCCCGGACU